GCGGAGAAUGCACAUGAACAAACUUCUUUUGGAGGGGGAGAAGAGAAAAGAGAGACGCGAGAAGUUGCUACUCCAUAGAUACGGUUAUACAGGACUGGCUUGUUUUCGGCUUGGUUCUAUCCCCACGCCUUCCCCAAGCACAUAGGGGGCCUCCAUUUUGCUUUGUAGCCUGGCAUCAUCCCCUCUACCCUCUGAGAAUCUCCCCAGUUGUGUGGCUCCCUUGUACAUGAGUACAGGGCCCUUGUUGUAACAGAGGGAUAGUGUUAACUUAUUGAGUUCACCAUGAGAGACAAGAAGGAUGACAAGGGGAAAUUACAGAACCUCAAGCAGGAGCUUGAGCUGGAUGUUCAUCGAAUCGAUAUCGAGGAGCUCUGCAAACGGUUCAACACCAAUCUGAACAAUGGCUUGACCAAGAGGCAAGCCGAGGAGAAUUUGAGCAAAUAUGGUCGCAACGCCCUCACCCCGCCUCCCACCACCCCGGAAUGGAUCAAGUUCUGCAACAACUUGUUCGGUGGAUUCUCCCUGUUGCUUUGGUUUGGAGCUAUCCUCUGCUUCAUCGCUUACUCGAUUCAGGCAGGAGCUUAUGAGGAACCUCCAGAUGAUAACUUGUACCUGGGUAUUGUCUUGACCGUGGUCGUGAUCGUGACUGGCGUUUUCUCCUACUACCAAGAGUCCAAGUCCUCCAAGAUUAUGGAAUCCUUCAAGAAUCUCGUGCCCCAAUAUGCUUUGGCUCUCCGUGACGGUGAGAAGCUCACCAUCAAGGCUGAGGAACUCACUUUGGGAGACAUCAUCGAGGUCAAGUUUGGCGACAGAGUACCGGCUGAUAUUCGAGUGGUUGAGGCACGAGGCUUCAAGGUCGACAACUCUUCUCUUACCGGAGAAUCUGAACCCCAAGCCAGAAGCGCCGAAUUCACGCAUGAAAAUCCCUUGGAGACCAAGAACUUGGCCUUUUUCUCGACCAACGCUGUGGAAGGAACUGCCCGAGGUAUUGUCGUCAACAUUGGCGACAACACUGUCAUGGGACGUAUUGCUGGUUUGGCCUCUGGUUUGGAGAGUGGAGACACGCCCAUUGCCAAAGAGAUUGCCCAUUUCAUUCACAUUAUCACUGGUGUGGCCGUGUUCUUGGGAGUCACCUUCUUCAUCAUUGCCUUCGUUUUGGAAUACCAUUGGUUGGAUGCCGUCAUCUUCUUGAUUGGUAUCAUUGUCGCUAACGUGCCAGAGGGCUUUUUGGCCACUGUCACCGUGUGCUUGACUCUGACCGCCAAGCGAAUGGCCUCCAAGAAUUGCUUGGUCAAGAAUUUGGAAGCUGUGGAGACCUUGGAUCCACCUCAACCAUUUGCUCUGACAGAACUGGAACACUCACCCAAAAUCGAAUGACUGUCGCUCACAUGUGGUUUGACAAUCAGAUCGUCGAGGCUGAUACCUCUGAGGACCAAACUGGAUCAUCCAACUACAAGACCCUGCCUGGAUGGAAGCCACUGGAACGUAUUGGUACCCUUUGCAAUCGCGCUGAGUUUAAGCCCGGUCAAGCUGGUGUGUUCUGUCUUGAAGCGAGAGGUCAAUGGCGAUGCUUCCGAAGCUGCCAUUCUGAAAUGUACUGAAUUGUCGACUGGCGAUGCCAUGGCUUACCGCAACAAGCAUAAGAAAGUAUGUGAGGUCCCUUUCAACUCUACCAACAAGUACCAGGUGUCCAUCCACGAAGUUGAGGGCAAAGAUAGUUAUCUUUUGGUCAUGAAGGGCGCCCCUGAGAGGAUUCUUGAUCGAUGCUCCACGAUUUUGAUCGAUGGCGAGGAAUUAGAAAUGUCUCAAGAAUGGAAAGAUAACUUCAACAACGCUUACAUGGAAUUGGGAGGUUUGGGAGAGCGUGUGCUCGGCUUCUGUGACUUUGAAUUGCCUGCCAACAAGUUCCCUAAGGGCUAUCCCUUCAACCAAGACGACAUCAACUUCCCCAUUGAGGGACUUCGAUUCAGUGGUCUCAUGUCCAUGAUUGAUCCUCCCGUGCUGCCGUCCCGACGCCGUGGCGAAGUGCCGAUCGGCAGGUAUCAAAGUUAUCAUGGUUACUGGUGAUCACCCCAUCACUCCAAGGCCAUUGCCAAGUCUGUCGGAAUCAUUUCUGAAGGAAACGAAACUGUUGAGGAUAUCGCGAACGCCAAGGCAUCCCCGUGGACAAGGUUAAUCCUCGUGACGCUCGUGCUGCCGUGGUUCAUGGUGGAGAAUUGAAGGACAUCACCGAAGAUCAAUUGGAUGAAAUUUUGAUGUAUCACACUGAAAUUGUAUUCGCCCGUACCUCUCCCCAACAGAAGCUGAUCAUUGUCGAAGGUUGUCAGAGAAUGGGAGCCAUUGUGGCUGUCACUGGCGAUGGUGUGAAUGACUCCCCCGCCUUGAAGAAGGCCGAUAUUGGUGUGGCCAUGGUAUCGCGCGAUCCGAUGUGUCCAAGCAAGCCGCUGACAUGAUCUUGUUGGACGACAACUUUGCCUCCAUCGUAACUGGCGUUGAAGAGGGUCGCUUGAUCUUUGACAACUUGAAGAAAUCCAUUGCCUACACUUUGACCUCCAACAUUCCCGAGAUCUCUCCUUUCUUGUUGUUCAUCUUGGCUGAUGUGCCCCUCCCUCUUGGAACUGUCACCAUCCUCUGUAUCGAUUUGGGAACCGACAUGGUGCCCGCCAUCUCCAUGGCCUACGAAGAAGCUGAAUCCGACAUCAUGAAGCGACAACCCCGUAACCCCUUCACAGACAAACUCGUCAAUGAGCGCUUGAUUUCCAUGGCCUACGGUCAGAUUGGUAUGAUUCAGGCCUCAGCCGGGUUCUUUGUCUACUUCGUCAUUUUGGCCGAGAAUGGCUUCCUCCCUAGCCGACUCUUUGGUCUCCGCCGUGCUUGGGAUUCUCAGGCUGUGAACGAUCUCGAGGAUUCCUAUGGUCAAGAAUGGACCUACAGGGACCGAAAGGUGCUCGAGUACACUUGUCAUACUGCUUUCUUCGUCUCCAUUGUCAUCGUCCAAUGGGCCGAUUUGAUCAUCUGUAAGACUCGUCGUCUCUCCGUGUUCCAACAGGGAAUGAAGAAUCACUUCAUGAACUUCGGUCUGGUCUUCGAGACCGUACUGGCCGCUUUCCUAUGCUAUACACCUGGCAUGGACAAGGGCUUGAGAAUGUACCCGUUGAAGUUCAACUGGUGGUUGCCCGCCCUUCCAUUCUCCCUGCUCAUCUUUGUCUACGACGAGAGCCGUAAAUACAUCCUGCGUCACCAACCUCAUGGAGCUUGGUUGGAGAGAGAGACCUACUACUAAAGGUCUUCCCGAUCUCGAGUACACGCGGCUUGGGUAAAACUCCAGGAAUGGAGAAAUUAUUGUGUCUUCCAGUUUCAUAGGGGAUGUAAGAACCACGGUGAGCUCCUAAUGUGGGAAAUCAUUGUGGCAUUCUAAAGAGGAAACUCCAGAGACUCGAUACAUUUUUCCCAUCACCUUGGCUUGUUCACCAUUAAGUGCCUUACGGAUGAACCCUGUCUUCCCAACAAGAUUGCCUGAAUCGGAGCGAUUAAAAGACGUGUCAAAUUUCCUUUUGUUGUUUUCGCACCCAUUGCAUUACAAAACCAAUUGACCAAGUGGUAUUUCAAGAAAUAAAUAUUAAGCAACGCA